rnacentral:rRNA from 1 species
AAAUUGAAGAGUUUGAUCAUGGCUCAGAUUGAACGCUGGCGGCAGGCCUAACACAUGCAAGUCGAACGGUAACAGGAAACAGCUUGCUGUUUCGCUGACGAGUGGCGGACGGGUGAGUAAUGUCUGGGAAACUGCCUGAUGGAGGGGGAUAACUACUGGAAACGGUAGCUAAUACCGCAUAACGUCGCAAGACCAAAGAGGGGGACCUUCGGGCCUCUUGCCAUCGGAUGUGCCCAGAUGGGAUUAGCUAGUAGGUGGGGUAACGGCUCACCUAGGCGACGAUCCCUAGCUGGUCUGAGAGGAUGACCAGCCACACUGGAACUGAGACACGGUCCAGACUCCUACGGGAGGCAGCAGUGGGGAAUAUUGCACAAUGGGCGCAAGCCUGAUGCAGCCAUGCCGCGUGUAUGAAGAAGGCCUUCGGGUUGUAAAGUACUUUCAGCGGGGAGGAAGGGAGUAAAGUUAAUACCUUUGCUCAUUGACGUUACCCGCAGAAGAAGCACCGGCUAACUCCGUGCCAGCAGCCGCGGUAAUACGGAGGGUGCAAGCGUUAAUCGGAAUUACUGGGCGUAAAGCGCACGCAGGCGGUUUGUUAAGUCAGAUGUGAAAUCCCCGGGCUCAACCUCGGGAACUGCAUCUGAUACUGGCAAGCUUGAGUCUCGUAGAGGGGGGUAGAAUUCCAGGUGUAGCGGUGAAAUGCGUAGAGAUCUGGAGGAAUACCGGUGGCGAAGGCGGCCCCCUGGACGAAGACUGACGCUCAGGUGCGAAAGCGUGGGGAGCAAACAGGAUUAGAUACCCUGGUAGUCCACGCCGUAAACGAUGUCGACUUGGAGGUUGUGCCCUUGAGGCGUGGCUUCCGGAGCUAACGCGUUAAGUCGACCGCCUGGGGAGUACGGCCGCAAGGUUAAAACUCAAAUGAAUUGACGGGGGCCCGCACAAGCGGUGGAGCAUGUGGUUUAAUUCGAUGCAACGCGAAGAACCUUACCUGGUCUUGACAUCCACAGAACUUUCCAGAGAUGGAUUGGUGCCUUCGGGAACUGUGAGACAGGUGCUGCAUGGCUGUCGUCAGCUCGUGUUGUGAAAUGUUGGGUUAAGUCCCGCAACGAGCGCAACCCUUAUCCUUUGUUGCCAGCGGUCCGGCCGGGAACUCAAAGGAGACUGCCAGUGAUAAACUGGAGGAAGGUGGGGAUGACGUCAAGUCAUCAUGGCCCUUACGACCAGGGCUACACACGUGCUACAAUGGCGCAUACAAAGAGAAGCGACCUCGCGAGAGCAAGCGGACCUCAUAAAGUGCGUCGUAGUCCGGAUUGGAGUCUGCAACUCGACUCCAUGAAGUCGGAAUCGCUAGUAAUCGUGGAUCAGAAUGCCACGGUGAAUACGUUCCCGGGCCUUGUACACACCGCCCGUCACACCAUGGGAGUGGGUUGCAAAAGAAGUAGGUAGCUUAACCUUCGGGAGGGCGCUUACCACUUUGUGAUUCAUGACUGGGGUGAAGUCGUAACAAGGUAACCGUAGGGGAACCUGCGGUUGGAUCACCUCCUUACCUUAAAGAAGC